UACGGAGGGUGCAAGCGUUAUCCGGAUUUAUUGGGUUUAAAGGGUCCGUAGGCGGAUCUGUAAGUCAGUGGUGAAAUCUCACAGCUUAACUGUGAAACUGCCAUUGAUACUGCAGGUCUUGAGUGUUAUUGAAGUAGCUGGAAUAAGUAGUGUAGCGGUGAAAUGCAUAGAUAUUACUUAGAACACCAAUUGCGAAGACAGGUUACUAAGCAACAACUGACGCUGAUGGACGAAAGCGUGGGGAGCGAACAGG
rnacentral:rRNA from 1 species